AUUGAACGCUGGCGGAAUGCUUUACACAUGCAAGUCGGGCGGCAGCAUGGACUUCGGUCUGAUGGCGAGCGGCGAACGGGUGAGUAAUGCAUCGGAACGUACCUAGUUGUGGGGGAUAGCUCGGCGAAAGCCGGAUUAAUACCGCAUACGUCCUACGGGAGAAAGCAGGGGAUCGCAAGACCUUGCGCAAUUAGAGCGGCCGAUGUCUGAUUAGCUAGUUGGUGGGGUAAAGGCUCACCAAGGCAUCGAUCAGUAGCGGGUCUGAGAGGAUGAUCCGCCACACUGGGACUGAGACCACGGCCAGACUCCGUACGGGAGGCUCG
rnacentral:rRNA from 1 species